UGUGAUGAAAACAAUGUGUUUUUUACUGCAAUGUGGAAAUCAAUAAUAAGUUGGUUGGAAAGGAGGUUGAACUGCCUGUUGUUGUUUUUGGAAUACUGAAGAACAGUUUUAACAGGUUUGUAUUGUCAUUUCUUCACCCCUUUUUUUAUUUAGUUUAUUGAAUUAAUUAUGAUCAUUAUCAUAUUUAUGUAUUGUCACUGGGAAAUGUAAAUGGAUAAGUUAUUGUAUUGCAAUUUAAAGGAUAAACAACACAUUUUGAAGCAAAAAUAGAUAAACUUACACAUGAAAAAGUGUAAAUGUUGUGUACAGUGAAUAAUUAUGGUUGUGUUUCAUGGUUAUUGUCAUCUAAAAUUUUAUUUAUAUCUAUUUCUGGUUAUUACUGAACGGAUUUCUUUCCCUCUUACUUAAUUAGAACUUAUAUAUUUUAAUUUUGAAGGUUAAACUCUUGCCACAAGGCAAAAUUGACAUCGUUGGGAAGAUCCUUUGGAAAGAAUGUGCAUCAUCGCCUGCCUGAUGUAUGGACUUUUAAACCUGGUUUUUACCCUGCACAAGCUGGCAAACUUGAGGGGAACAAGAGUGGGAAAACCUCGCCCUGUCCUUGACCAAGAAAGCUCGAUUUGUUGAGAGAUCAACUGGCAUAAGAGAUGCUCAAGAGGAGAAGGACACAAGCAGCAUCAAUGGAACAACUACAUGUCGCUCCAGCGCCCGCUUUCCAGGUCUCUACCAGCUGCUUUCCAGAUCCCUCCACCCGCCAAGAUCAGGUCUAGGUCCCUGCACUGGCUGCUUUCCAGGUCCCCUAGCGGUCAAGGUCUCUCCAGUAGCUGCUGUGCAGGUCCCAACACCGUAUGCCGUCAAGGUCCCUCCUUAAGCUGAAAUCCAGGUUCCUCAUUCCACUGCGGUUCAGGUACCUCCAACAGCUGAGAUCCAGGUCUCUGCAGCAGCUGCGGUCUAAAUACUCCACCCGCAGUGGUCCAUUGCGGUCAAACUUUUGCUUUAAAAUCUUCCAUAAAUGUCUAUUAUUUUAUAAUGUAUUGUAAAAAUAAUCUGUUAGUAUUAAUUUGCGGUGUACUAUUUUUGUCAUAUAAACAUAAUUUUCGUA